UACGUAGGUGGCAAGCGUUGUCCGGAUUUACUGGGCGUAAAGAGCGCGCAGGCGGUCGUGCAAGUCGCGUGUGAAAGCCCCCCGGCUCAACUGGGGAGGGUCACGCGAUACUGCUCGACUGGAAGGCAGGAGAGGGAAGUGGAAUUCCCGGUGUAGUGGUGAAAUGCGUAGAUAUCGGGAGGAACACCAGUGGCGAAGGCGACUUCCUGGCCUGUUCUUGACGCUGAGGCGCGAAAGCUAGGGUAGCAAACGGG
rnacentral:rRNA from 1 species